rnacentral:rRNA from 1 species
GAUGAACGCUGGUGGCGUGCCUAAUACAUGCAAGUCGAGCGAACAGACGAGGAGCUUGCUCCUCUGACGUUAGCGGCGGACGGGUGAGUAACACGUGGAUAACCUACCUAUAAGACUGGGAUAACUUCGGGAAACCGGAGCUAAUACCGGAUAAUAUAUUGAACCGCAUGGUUCAAUAGUGAAGGACGGUUUUGCUGUCACUUAUAGAUGGAUCCGCGCCGCAUUAGCUAGUUGGUAAGGUAACGGCUUACCAAGGCAACGAUGCGUAGCCGACCUGAGAGGGUGAUCGGCCACACUGGAACUGAGACACGGUCCAGACUCCUACGGGAGGCAGCAGUAGGGAAUCUUCCGCAAUGGGCGAAAGCCUGACGGAGCAACGCCGCGUGAGUGAUGAAGGUCUUCGGAUCGUAAAACUCUGUUAUUAGGGAAGAACAAAUGUGUAAGUAACUAUGCACGUCUUGACGGUACCUAAUCAGAAAGCCACGGCUAACUACGUG